UAGUGCUAACGAAACCUUUUCAUACAA
rnacentral:sRNA from 1 species